UUUGAUGGUAACACUGAUGGCACCAGUGUGGCUGAGUCCAAGCUGCCUGAACCAGUCGUGGCCACCCAGAUCCGGCUGUACCCCCAGGAGUGGCAGAGCACCAUCGCACUGAGGAUAGAGCUGAGGGGAUGUCCACUGGAAGUGACAACCACGACUGCCCUCCCAGCAGUGACCACCACCACAUCUGUGCUGACCAGUGCCAUCACCACUACUCCAGAGUAUGUCUGUGAUGAGCGAUGCCACUGUGAGGAGGACUGCAGUGGGAACCUGAUCUGCAGCCCCGAGGCCGUCCCCUGCUCCAGGACCUGCGAGUGUCGCGGGGACGACCUGGUCAAGGUCGGGGACUACUGCGCCAAGGUCGCUCAGCACUGCAGCUGCUAUGAUGCUGACACAGACACUUCA